AAGUCGUAACAAGGUUUCCGUAGGUGAACCUGCGGAAGGAUCAUUAAUGAGUAAGGGUCUUCGGGCCCGACCUCCAACCCUUUGUAGUUGAAAAACCCUUGUUGCUUUGGCGGGACCGUCCCGGAACUCCCAUCUCUUCUGAUGGGGGGAGGGGCAGGCCGGCUCUCGGACGUCGAGCUCCGCCACGCAGUCAAACCAAACAUCUUGUUUUAACCAUAUCGUCCGAGUAAAUUGAUAAAUCAAUUAAAA
rnacentral:misc_RNA from 1 species